CACCUAUGCAACUUCCCCAGACAGGCACUGUACCCUCCCUCGCUUGGUAGGGUGGGCACUAGGCUGGCAGGGAAGGAACCCAGCUCACCCCAGGCAAUGGGGACGGGGAGCAAGUCACUCAUUGAACAGCUCAGCAUCAUGGAGGCGUCUGGGACCGCAUGUCCUUGAAAAAGCAGUCACAGGGGCCCCACAACUGGCUACAAGCCUCUACAAGAUCUGGUCGCCCCACACACUUCUUCCCUGCUCUUACAGUGGCACUUGACGGGGAC